CUUCAGUGGUAUUUCGAAAUCGAAUUUUUGAUGGUUAUAAGGCUGCUUUACGCACUAUCAUGCUAAGAGUUUGCUAAAAGUCUUGGCGGUGAAACUGCUUAUCCGUUUCCUAAAGCUUCCAACUGCUCUGCACGUCUAAUUGGAAUGGAAAGCAGUCGCGUCAAAAUCCUGGAAAUAGCCUACUUUCCAGAAAACAGCAACUGAAAGCGGUAUUCUUGCAAUUGAUGUCACCUGAGAAUGCCGGGCAAGAUGUCCAAAGGUCAAUUCUGAUCGGUAUUAAUUAGCAUCAAGAGAUGACCAUUAAAACGACUAUUGAAUGAGAACGAUGAACGUCCUACAAGUUUUCAAAACGACCAUCUUUGCAAUUGGGAAUGCGCCGUUUAAGUGGAACGCAAAUCUUUCAUGGAGGCUGGGUCAUGGAUACUUGAAUGUCUGUAUGGAGAUUGUUGGUAUACUUUCCUGUAAAUCGACCAGUGUUUUGAAAGGAGUAUUUCGCCUUCCAGCUAAAUGCAGCAGAUCCUUCAAUGUUACCAUCUUGCCUAUUUGGGCGAUAAUGCACCAGAAUCCAAGCAGUAUCUUAUUUCAAGUAUGAUUCUACUGUUACUAGCAACGAACUAGAUUUGUCUUUUCUUCGGCUUGACUGACUGACUUGCUAAGCAAAUCCAAUCUUACUUUUCAAUUAAGAAUGUUGUACAAUGAACACCAACAGAUUUUAAUCUGUAAUUGACCAUAAAUGAUUCGAAAUUUGUAAUUAAAGUAUUAGUUGCCUAUAUCUUAAGAAAAUCAAAUCUUAUAUAUUUAAAUAUCUUAAACGUCAACUUUCUAAACAAAAGUAUUUAAAAAAUCAACUUCAAAUAACCUCCAAGUUGCUGUAGACGAAAUUUUUAAUUUAAAUCGGUUAAUUCCUAUCCAGAGUAAAAGGUUAUUACUAGUGCUCUUGGUGUUUAUAGAAGAGCAAUAUGCUCAAAUUAAUUCUGCUACCAGCAAACUAAAAACAAGUAAUAUAUAUUAAGGAAUCGUUACUAUACAAUUCUAGAGAUUAAGCCAUUCUCAAUUAAGAGUAAUUUUAAAACGAACGUUACUGCAAGCCUCAAAUGAAACGGAUGGAAAUUAUAUAUAGUAUUUUAGUACUAAAUUUUGGCCAAAUACCAUAUUGGACACUAAAUUAAAAAUGGUUCAUUUGGAAUUCAAACAAACUUCGCAAGUUCUUUAAGUUCUCGCGAAGAAUGUUCUUUCGAAACAGCGUAACUUGAUCCGAAGAUUUUUAAUAUAGAAACUGGCUAUUCGUUGGACUCCAUCCAAGCUCUAAAGCAAAAUGAAGAUAAUCUGCGCACCAGUAGGACACUUUUGAUAAGAAUAUAAACCUUUAAUCUAGUUUCAGCUCAAACGUUUAAACUCUAUUUAAAUAACAUUUGAAAUGAAGCUCUUAAUUACACUCGCUUAUAACAUAAAUUUUUGGAGACUAGCGGAACAAGGUUUAAGGAUAGGCUACAAAGCGUUGCAUUUUAGGGCAAUUUUGGCUAGCAGUCCAAAGCUUUCGGCAGUUGCUGAUGUCGGUGUCAAAAGUAAAAAUUGCAUUUAACUGGCUCGUUUAGAAUUGGCUUAAUUGAUCACGCAGGACUUCAAAAUCAAAUGAGGCAGAAUGGCGGUUAACACGUUAAGAUACCGAUCCCUGUUGACUUUCCGUUUAGGCAACAUGGGACCGGCUGCCUAAACAGAAAGUUCCGGUCCCCAGGGUAUCGGUACUUAACGUGUAAAUGGGAAGUUGGGUAUUAAGUUGGUAAUUGCUAGAUGAAAUUGACGGGUUGUGGGAGAUCGCAAAUGUUUGCAAUCUUUUCAGUGUAGUAAGUAUUGACAAAGUAAUUUUUGGCAAAGCAUUUUAACUCGUAGUGCAAUUUCUACUUAAAACAUCGAUAGCGGCUGUUCGAAAAUAACUUAAGCCUUGUAAAUGAACACCCUAAAAUGUAACGUCAACCAGCGUGUCGGUAUAAAUUUUUCUUUACAAUUCAUUGUACUAGUAGUAUUGAAGCGACGGAACAUUUUUGUAUUGUAUGAAUCUUGAUUUAGAUUGUAGAAUUUAGCUGAAAUUAUGACAAUUCUAGUUGAUUAUUUAAACGGCAAUACUGCAGUUAAAUUUGUUGUCAGUAAGCUUGCGUUGUUCUUCCUGUUAUCUUGCAAGUAUAUUAAUCAAAUUCUCAUGCCAAGUGCUAAAUUUUAAGUAAAGUUGAACUCCAUAAAUUAUACAACCGUGCGUUUGAAUUCCAAAAGAAUCCUAUAAAAUCAAACUUCGUUAAUUGUUUACAUUUGACUAAACUUAUUUCAGGGGCUUAAAUAUUCUUUGAAUUAAAUUCUUAAUCCGUUUCAUUUGAAUGUACUUGCGAUUCAAUAGCGAAACUUGUAUUUAAGUUUAUAUUGAAUUACUCAAGUUGCAAAUUCUCCAUCUGCGUGUGAGUUUUUACUAAAUUCAAUGAAGCAUUCAAAUUUUAAGAAUCUUGUAAACGAGGAAUCUGCUUUUAAAACCGCAAGCAUGCUCAUUGGUGUCUAGCGAUGCAAAGUGAACUUUCAGAUUUCGAUCCAUCAAUGACCUCUAGCUGUUGUAAGGAACUUCAGUCUUAAACUGCUAUCUUAUGCUACGGUUUGUAAAUUGUACACUUAUUGACUAUCUUAACUUGAUCUUGACUAUAUGAAUAUGGGAGUUUCUGCAUGUUUGCAGAAAACUUCUAAAAUCGUAUUAGCUUUGUUGUAGCUGAAUAUUUACAUUGUGUAUAAGUACUGCUGUUUAGUCCAAGUAGUUUUUACGUUACUUGUAAUUCUGUAUCUUUUGAAUGCAUGUUUAAAUUCAUGUACAUCUAUAAAUAGAAGGCUGGACGGUGUAUAGUUGAGAGGAUGGGUAAAGCCAUCAAUAAAACAAAUACUAUGUGAACAUUGCAAUAAUUUAUCUGAAAAAAAUCUAAGUCGGUUUAGAUCCGCAUGUCUAAAACCUUAAUGGUGUUUGAAAACAUUCUUGGUGGUCAAGCGGUGAAGGUAGAGCAAUUUUAAAGUUUCAAAUAUAGAAAGGAAUUUAAUUUUUACAUUCCAAAAAGAGCUUGUUGAAUUGGAAUACUUCAUUAACUUGGCAACUUUUAAUAUCAAUAUUCCAUAAAGGCCUCCCAUACUAAGCUGUCAUUCUAACAAAAGUAGUCUCGAAUCGUAAUAAAUUUUGGCAAUUAAAAUCGGCUGUACUAAUUCAGAUUGGAGUAAAAUCUGCCUAGGAAACUCAGAAUUCACUUACAAUUGCUAAUUAACUUUAAAAUUUCAUCUUUUAUAUUUAACUUUAUAUUUGAAAAGUUGACUGAUAGAGUUCUGCAAGCUUCAACUUUUUACUCGGGUAAGGAUUCUUUCCCUCUUUAAAUUUCUUAAUCUAGAAACCGACUCGAAAUUCUCGGUGACCAGAGCUACACUUGUUGCGAGAUUUUAAUGAGUAGUUUCCUUCAACUUAAUGGAUAAAAAUUAGUUGGAAUUCCACGAUAUAGACUUAAGAUAUAUUAAAUUUUUAACUGCUUCAAUCUUGACUUAAAUUGGCAGGUUAAGUGAAAUGAGUCACUUUACAAAUACUCGAUUAACUGAAGACGAUUAUUCAUCCCGAUCAAUUAAUAUAAUUCAUAAUGUUUUAAACCUUACUGCUAUGAGGGAAAAUAACUCUGAAAUACGCAAGUUUUUGAAUUUCCACAUGUUUAAAUUGGGUAAACCAGACAAGUCAUUAUCUGAACUCGAUUUGAAGCUUUAAACGAGAACUUCGUUAAGUCUUAUUGAUAACUUCCAAUUUAAUGCCCCAGAAUGGAUUCAAUAGAAGUUUGCGAAGCUAAUACCCCCCCCCCCCUUUCAUUAGAAGACGGUCGUAGCUACGCCGGCAAGCUAUCGGGCCGUCUUAAAACAUUGAAGCACUUUGAGCGUGGUGCUUGGCCACCAUCACGAUCAAAGCGUUUAAACAAAGAGUAGUUUAGUCGAAUGUUUCUUAAUCUUCAUUCCGUGGAGAAAUUCUAAAGAUAGCAUUUAAUUUAAUCCAAAUAAAACUUUUCGGAAUUCAGCUUUUAAAGUAAACUGAAAUCAUGUGUAUCUCAAUCGAGUCGGUAAUGCGGAAAAAUUCGUAUUCAUCUCUAAAAAUCCCUAUCCUGUUAGCUUUAAGUUUUCGAAAAUAUUUCCCAAAUACUUUAACUUCUAGAAUAUGUAGAUAAACUUGUCUGGUUUCCAUUUGCGGGAUGGGGAAUCUUAAGAUUUAAAAAAAAUUCUAUGCUCAUUUUCGUAUCGUAUUAAAUAACUAGUUUCAUUCUGAUUAUGAUGCAGUUAAUUGCUCGUCUCGGUUUCCAGUUUAAAUGUUCCCCCCUAACAACUUUAAUCUUGAGGAUAUCUUCCCAAAAUUGGUAGGUGCUAUGUAUUUUAAAUUUUAAAAAAAAUUAUUUGUGUUAAUAGCCCAUGUUAUUCAGGCAUGUAAUAUUUUUAUAAGCAGUUCUAAAAUCUCGUAGUGCGUUAGGUAAGGAAUAAUUUGAACUUCAGCAUUACACCAAAACUAAAUGUGGUGUGGUGAAUAAAGCUUGAAAAUAUUUCUAAAAAGCAAGGGAAAGUGACCUCGGCUGAUCAUUAAUUGAACAUGUAUAAAACCUUACUUUCUGAAAAUUGAACUUAAUCUAAAAACGGGGUAUAUGCUACUGUAGUCGUUUGCGAGCCCAGCAAAUCUACUGCAAAAACUAUGCACGCGAAUUAAAAUUGUGAGUGGAAAUGUAAUGGGAAAACUUAGAUGGUAACUUGCAGCUAUUCUUCUGUUGCAUAAUAUUUGAUUCUGUUUUUAAAUUUGCUUAAUUUUUAACCACUCCGUUGAAAUACUUGAAGAUAUUUGCCGCCUUCAGAACUUGAAGACUGUCAGUAGCUGUGCUAGCCAGUUAAUUGGCAGUCUCCUAAAUUCCUAGACAUUUUAGAAUUCGAUGCCUGAUCACCAUCGAAUCAAAAAUGCCUUGGAAUUAAAAACGCUGUGAUGUGUAGAUUAGACACCGCAUUCUUUUCUCUGCUUUUAUAAAGCGAAUAACGGGAAAAACGGAAAUUGCGAAUUAACCAAAUUUGGAGUACUAUAGUCUUGUUCCUAAUUUAAAAAUGCUCAAAUUCUGUUUUGUUGGUCUCGAAUCUUAGCUUGGUAGCAUUCUAGAAUUAAAUAGCGUAAACUGCCAAUCUCAUAAGUUUUAGUACUCAAAGAACUUCAUAAUCUACUUAUGUACGAAACUUUUGUAGAAUAAACUUAAAUAGAGAAGUAUUUAAGUAAUGUCCGAAUUACUUCGCUCUUCCGGAGACUUAUUUGCUUAGUUAAAAUGAUAAAUAUAGCCUAAUCAUCGAAAUCCUGGCAGAAGGCCCAUUUCCUCUUGUACUAGUAUUCGUACCUCUUUAGUUCAGGUUUUCCUACCAAUAGUUAUCGUGGAGAUGAGAUCAGCAAUGAACUUCUGUGGAAUAAUCUAGUCGAGUUUCUAAAAGACAAGUUAAAAUUUGAAUUAAAUUGUAUAGUUCACUAGCACUUUCUUUUAGCUACAAAAUAACUUGUAUUGCAUUUUAAUUCUGAUUUGAUGUAUUUGCAGGCAAAGUUUCUUUACAUCAAAUGAUGUCCUUUCAAAUCGAACUAAACUUAAUCUGGUUUAGGACCAAUUCUCCAAGCUCAAUAUGGAAUCCUUAAAGAAUCGACUUCUCGUUUUUCGAUAUUAAAUUGGCAUAGUAAUUUAAAAUGCUAAUUUAAUCUAGUAACACGAAUUGAAUUCAAUUAGUCCAGGGUAUUUUUAGUCGCAAAUGUUUUAAAAUUUCGGGUAUAAAAACGUAGCACGUGAAUUUGAUUUGUAGUUCGAAAUACAUCGUCCAGUCUUUACCAAUAAAAUUUAAAAGUUGCAUGUUAAAUUAUCUUGAAGUGUUUGCAUUUCAAAAACAUCUUAAAUUUUAAGAGACAGUUAACUUCGUUAUUUCCUGUUUAAAUAAAACCUUGUCAGUUUCUGUAUGCUAUAAUGUUGAGGGUAAUAACUAAUCUAGUGAACAUUUCUAUUGUGUAGCAAUGAUAUUGUUAAACUUGUCAUUCUAUUUUCAUGUUAAUUUAAUUCAUUGUAAUUUCAUUAAAUUUGUAAUACUUCGAAAAUUGCAUAAUUGCAUGCCA